GAGCCUGGCUCGGGCCCCACGGAUUCCACCUUUUCUCAUACCUUUUUCUGGAAAUUAGGCAUUUCCUAUCAUGUGUGUUGAGUUUGUUUGUUAGAUCUGAAGCUUCUCUUCGGAGCGGCCUGGUUGUGGUUAUAGAUGGGUUCGAAGCCAUGGCUGUACCCGGCUCCGUCAUAUCGACCACUUGAGACAUAUUGGGACACCGACGACGAC
rnacentral:misc_RNA from 1 species